AUUGAACGCUGGCGGCAUGCCUUACACAUGCAAGUCGAACGGCAGCACGGGAGCAAUCCUGGUGGCGAGUGGCGAACGGGUGAGUAAUAUAUCGGAACGUGCCCAGUCGUGGGGGAUAACGUAGCGAAAGCUACGCUAAUACCGCAUACGAUCUAUGGAUGAAAGCGGGGGGAUCGCAGACCUCGCGCGAUUGGAGCGGCCGAUAUCAGAUUAGGUAGUUGGUGAGGUAAAGGCUCACCAAGCCGACGAUCUGUAGCUGGUCUGAGAGGACGACCAGCCACACUGGGACUGAGACACGG
rnacentral:rRNA from 1 species